GCUGAACACCACCCCCCCCACCUUUCUCUGAAAGCAGGAGGGGAAAGCCGUGGGAAAGACCCCCUCCUGGCACCAGGAGGAAAGAAGCCUUCUUACCGCCAGCGACGGGGGAGUCAGGCCGAGAGGACUCUCAGCGAACAGACUCGUUAAAGUGACUCUCACGUCCCUUCACCUCCCAGUUAGUCACUCCCCAUAUGAUGGUCUCUCUCUACCAGAGCCAGCUUGGGGCUUGAGGAUCGAAAGUUCUCAAAGCAAAAACAAACAGAACUGCAGACAACCCCGAUUCCCCCUGCAAUGAGCAGACACGUGUGACCAGAAGCUGUUUGGCCCUAAAACGGUCUGGGCCACAGCCUCAGCGGCUGCACCCAAAGCUGCGUGGAAAACGCUUGUCGUAGAAAACGCAUUUGGUACGAUUCCACUUAUCGGCCUUAAAAACGGUACAGAACUAAACAAGGCAGUGUGCAGGGAGGAGAUAAAAUGUAAGGGGUAAUAAAAUGGGCAAAGUCAGGUGUGGUUUCUGGGGGGCAGAGGAGGGGAGCUGGGCCCCUGCCUUCAGAGGACACAUAGGAAGCAAAUAAAUGUUUAUUGACUUUUUUAUAUUUACCCAUUUAUUUAUUAUUUUUAACUUUCUCUGUUUCUUUCUGUGGAUUCGAGGUUUCAUCUGCUGUCGUUUCCAACAGAGCAUCAGUGCCACUCCCCUGCCUGUGCCUCUAUUAUCAAGUAUCGUGCAGUCAUGUGUUAAAGCCCCAAUGGUACAAUUUGAUAG